GUCGCCUGUUUUAUCAAAAACAUCGCUCUUUGUAUUAUGUAUAAGGAGUUGGACCUGCCCGGUGAUUGGUCAAAUUUUAAAGUUAUUAAAGUAAUCAAAAAUUUUUUUAAACGGCUGCAAUUAAUAAUUGUGCUAAGGUAGCGUAAUCAUUUGCCCCCUAAUUAGGGGAAGGUAUGAAUGGUUUGACGUGGGAAAUACUGUCUCUUUUGUAUAUAAAGAAGUUUAUUUUUGAGUGAAAAAGCUUAGAUGUUUAUAAAAGACGAGAAGACCCUAUCGAACUUGAAUUAUUUGUUUGAAAAUUUAAACAAAAAAAGUUUAGUUGGGGAAACUUAAAGUAAAAAGUAACGCUUUAUUUUUUUGUCAAGAUCCUAUAAUAUGGAAAAAUGAAAAAGUUACCGUAGGGAUAACAGCGCUUUCUUCUCUGAGAGGACUAAUUAAAGAGUUGGUUGCGACCUCGAUGUUGGAUUAAAAUUUCUUUUUGGGGCAGGGGUUAAAAUAGUAAGACUGUUCGUCUUUUAAAAUUUUACGUGAUCUGAGUUCANACCGGA
rnacentral:rRNA from 1 species